UCCCUAUGGGGUGCAGCAGUCGCGAAAAUUUUGCAAUACACGAAAGUGUGACAGAGCUAUCCCGAGUGCCAUCCGCUGAGGAAGGCUUUUACCCAGUAUAAAUAGCUGGGAGAAUAAGGAGAGGGCAAGUCUGGUGUCAGCCGCCGCGGUAAUACCAGCUCUCCGAGUAGUGUGGACGUUUAUUGGGCCUAAAGCAUCCGUAGCUUGCUAGAUAAGUCCCCUGUUAAAUCCACCGAUUCAAUCGUUGGAUUGCGGGGGAUACUGUUUGGCUAGGGGACGGGAGAGGUCGACGGUAUUUCCGGGGUAGGGGUGAAAUCCUAUAAUCCCGGGAAGACCACCAGUGGCGAAGGCUGUCGACUAGAACGCGCCCGACGGUGAGGGAUGAAAGCUGGGGGAGCAAACCGGAUUAGAUACCCGGGUAGUCCCAGCUGUAAACGAUGCUCGCUAGGUGUCUGGGACGGUGCGACCGUUUCAGGUGCCGCAGGGAAGCCGUGAAGCGAGCCACCUGGGAAGUACGGCCGCAAGGCUGAAACUUAAAGGAAUUGGCGGGGGAGCACUACAACGGGUGGAGCCUGCGGUUUAAUUGGAUUCAACGCCGGA
rnacentral:rRNA from 1 species